rnacentral:rRNA from 1 species
GAUCAUGGCUCAGGAUGAACGCUGGCGGCGUGCUUAACACAUGCAAGUCGAACGAAGCACUUAUCUUUGAUUCUUCGGAUGAAGAGGUUUGUGACUGAGUGGCGGACGGGUGAGUAACGCGUGGGUAACCUGCCUCAUACAGGGGGAGUAACAGUUAGAAAUGACUGCUAAUACCGCCAUAAGACACCGAGGCUGCAUGGNUCCGUUCGGGAAAAGAACCGUCGGUGUG